rfam:Schistosoma mansoni strain Puerto Rico chromosome 2, complete genome
AUCCAGCUGACGAGUUCCAAAUAGAACGAAACACGCGUCCUGGGU